rnacentral:lncRNA from 1 species
GUUUUUGUUGCUUUCGUUGGUUCAAAUGGAACCUAAUGAGCUUAGAGAUGACGGAUCUAGCUCACAUUGAGGCUAGCACCCAUGGUUUUCCUCAUUAUUGCUAAACCUAGGUUUUAAAAAGGGUUUUGUUGCUUAAGAAUGGUUCAAAUGGAAACCAUUGAAGCUUAAGAGAAGGUUCAAUCCCAAAUUUGGAGUUUGAAACCAUGAUUUCUCUAUUGUUGCUCAACCUAGGGCUUGAUUUGGGGAUUUUGCAAAUAUUAGGGUUUGAUCUCCUUUGAGGGGUUAGAAACCUAAUUUCCAUGUUUAUAAACGCGUAGGCGAAGACGGUUCGUCGAUCCGACGAGUGGGCACGAAGAUAUCGCCAUUUGAUGCGCUAAAGGGUUAAAGCUAACCCAAUAAAAAUUAAGCGGUGACAAGACUAGCACGAGAGCGCGUCCCGGAGUGUUUUUGGCAUCACCUAAGGUGGGGGAGUGCCAUACCGAAGUCAUCGGGCCACCUUCUAUGUCUAAGUUUAAAUUGAUCUAUUUGCAUAUUGUGCAUAGUACAUAUAGGGUUAAGAAAAUGAUUAUUGUUGCUUAUACUUGCAUGCUAGUAGUUCGAUAAAUACAUUUUGCUUGGUUGGUUUAUGAUCUAGUAUGCAUGAUGAUUGCUUGAUGAAAACCUAGACCCUAUAUGAGAUGACAAAUAUUUAUGUUGCUAAAGGACUAGUAUGGUGUAACUAGUGUUGGAAAAAUGAGUCUAAAUGACGAGUGGCAUCUAGCUAGAAAACUAUGACGAGUGACAUAUGAUUGUUGAUGAUUUUGAUAUUAGAACAUUAGUGUAGUUGAGACACUAUGAGAUUGGGUACAUGUAUACCUUGCUUU